GAUGAACGCUGGCGGCGUGCCUAACACAUGCAAGUCGAGCGAGAUGUAUAUGGACGAAACCUCGGUCUAGGAAAUAUAUUGACAGCGGCGGACGGGUGAGUAACGCGUAGGCAACCUGCCCCAAACACAGGGAUAGCCUCGGGAAACCGGGAUUAAAACCUGAUAAUGCCAAAGAGUCACAUGGCUCGUUGGCCAAAGAUUUAUCGGUUUGGGAUGGGCCUGCGUCUGAUAGUUGUUGGUGGGUAACGGCUACCAAGACUACGAUCAGUAGCCGACCUGAGAGGGUGAUCGGCCACAUUGGAACUGAGACACGGUCCAAACUCCUACGGGAGGCAGCAGUGGGGAAUAUUGCACAAUGGGCGAAAGCCUGAUGCAGCAACGCCGCGUGAGCGAUGAAGGCCUUUGGGUCGUAAAGCUCUGUCCUUGGGGAGAAAAAAUGACGGUACCCAAGGAGGAAGCCCCGGCUAACUACGUGCCAGCAGCCGCGGUAAAGUCUGUACU
rnacentral:rRNA from 1 species